rnacentral:rRNA from 1 species
UACGGAGGGAGCUAGCGUUGUUCGGAUAUACUGGGCGUAAAGCGCACGUAGGCGGCGCCGUAAGUCAGGGGUGAAAUCCCGGGGCUCAACCUCGGAACUGCCUUUGAUACUGCAAAUCUCGAGUCCGAUAGAGGUGGGUGGAAUUCCUAGUGUAGAGGUGAAAUUCGUAGAUAUUAGGAAGAACACCGGUGGCGAAGGCGGCCCACUGGAUCGGUACUGACGCUGAGGUGCGAAAGCGUGGGGAGCAAACAGG